rnacentral:rRNA from 1 species
CCUACGGGCGGCAGCAGUGGGGAAUAUUGGGCAAUGGGCGCAAGCCUGACCCAGCAACGCCGCGUGAAGGAAGAAGGCCCUCGGGUUGUAAACUUCUUUUAUCAGGGACGAAGCAAGUGACGGUACCUGAUGAAUAAGCCACGGCUAACUACGUGCCAGCAGCCGCGGUAAUACGUAGGUGGCAAGCGUUAUCCGGAUUUACUGGGUGUAAAGGGCGUGUAGGCGGGAAAGCAAGUCAGAUGUGAAAACCAUGGGCUCAACCUGUGGCCUGCAUUUGAAACUGUUGUUCUUGAGUGCGGGAGAGGCAGACGGAAUUCCUAGUGUAGCGGUGAAAUGCGUAGAUAUUAGGAGGAACACCAGUGGCGAAGGCGGUCUGCUGGACAGCAACUGACGCUGAGGCGCGAAAGCGUGGGGAGCAAACAGGAUUAGAUACCCGUGUAGUC